GGAAUUUUCACAGUCGGGGACCAGUCUCCUCGACCAGGGACCGGUUCUCGAAUGGCUGAUUUCCAGGACUUAGCCGAUUUUCGAGUUUUCUGGCUGGCUGCGCAGCGAGGGACCGGUCUCUCCUUCAGGGACCGGUUCCUCAGGGACCGGUCUCACUGCCAGGGACCGGUUGCCUCAGGAUUCCUGGCAGGCUACACGUACGGGGAUCGGUCUCUCCUUCAGGGACCGGUCCCCGAGAGCACAAAAUCUGGGACUUAGCCAGAUUUUGGAAUUUCACCCUCUUGGAUC
rnacentral:lncRNA from 1 species